GAUGAACGCUGGCGGCGUGCCUAAUACAUGCAAGUCGAGCGAACAGACGAGGAGCUUGCUCCUCUGAUGUUAGCGGCGGACGGGUGAGUAACACGUGGAUAACCUACCUAUAAGACUGGGAUAACUUCGGGAAACCGGAGCUAAUACCGGAUAACAUGUUGAACCGCAUGGUUCAACAGUGAAAGACGGUCUUGCUGUCACUUAUAGAUGGAUCCGCGCCGCAUUAGCUAGUUGGUAAGGUAACGGCUUACCAAGGCAACGAUGCGUAGCCGACCUGAGAGGCUGAUCGGCCACACUGGAACUGAGACACGGUCCAGACUCCUACGGGAGGCAGCAGUAGGGAAUCUUCCGCAAUGGGCGAAAGCCUGACGGAGCAACGCCGCGUGGGUGAAGAAGGUCUUCGGAUCGUAAAACUCUGUUAUUAGGGAAGAACAAAUGUGUAAGUAACUAUGCACGUCUUGACGGUACCUAAUCAGAAAGCCACGGCUAACUACGUG
rnacentral:rRNA from 1 species